GACGCUACCGCGUCUGAUGCAGUUUUCAGAAGCGAUCAUAUUCGAAACAGAAAAGGUCCAUAUUGGAAAUUUUUGAGGAAUCCCCAGACCCUUCAGAGAUGGAUGGAUGAAAGGGACUCACCAAAGCCCCAAACCACCUACAAAACCAAACAAAUCUACCAAAUUCUCCAUGAAAACUGGAGGGUCAUUUAGCUACCAGAAAAAAAUUAGAACAAUUGUAUAGAAGCAUAAUGUGGAAGCACUGCAUUUUUUUCCUGUGAGAUCACCCUGUUGAGUGGAAUAUGCUUUAAAGGGAAUAUAAUGCCAUACACAUAUAGUCUUUACAUGUGAAACAG
ensembl:lncRNA